AGUGAACGCUGGCGGUAGGCCUAACACAUGCAAGUCGAACGGCAGCACAGUAAGAGCUUGCUCUUACGGGUGGCGAGUGGCGGACGGGUGAGGAAUACAUCGGAAUCUACUUUUUCGUGGGGGAUAACGUAGGGAAACUUACGCUAAUACCGCAUACGACCUACGGGUGAAAGCAGGGGAUCUUCGGACCUUGCGCGAUUGAAUGAGCCGAUGUCGGAUUAGCUAGUUGGCGGGGUAAAGGCCCACCAAGGCGACGAUCCGUAGCUGGUCUGAGAGGAUGAUCAGCCACACUGGAACUGAGACACGGUCCAGACUACUACGGGAGGCAGCAGUGGGGAAUAUUGGACAAUGGGCGCAAGCCUGAUCCAGCCAUACCGCGUGGGUGAAGAAGGCCUUCGGGUUGUAAAGCCCUUUUGUUGGGAAAGAAAAGCAGCAGGUUAAUACCCAGCUGUUCUGACGGUACCCAAAGAAUAAGCACCGGCUAACUUCGUG
rnacentral:rRNA from 1 species